rnacentral:sRNA from 5 species
UAUUCUACCCCACGGGGAAGGAUGAGAAGCUUCGACUAAGGUUCGACUCGAGCGUAGCGAGAGAACGUUGCCGCAGGCAACGGCCCGAAGGGCGAGGCGCUUUAGCGCCGAGUUAUCCUUCCCCCACCACCA